GACAGUCUCUUGAUCGUGAUUUGUUCUUCAAAGCGCUCGAUUUCUCGCAUGUCGUCGUGCAUGACAUCGUAAAAACUACCUCAUCGUUUUUGUCGCUGUUCGUUAUAGUGAGCACGUUUAGCAGCAACGUUAAACACGAAACCUAUCUUUGGUGCAAAUCAAGUGUUGAAGCAACUUAACGACGAGGAUUCACUCGAUGUCGUGACAGCGAUAAUGAUGACCAUCUGCGAGAGGGCAACCGAGGGCGUGGAAAGGCAGGAAGGGUUCAGCCGUGGCUCUCUGAAUUAUUAGGGAUUGCGGAAGUAAGUUGAAGACCUAUCGCACAAAAUUUGGAUAUACAAGCAACGAGACCAUAUUCAUAGAUAUCGCAGAGAAGCACCCGGUACGUACCCGUUGGGGUAAGAUGGUGACAUUGAAUUAUUGUUAACCUGGUAAAUGCAGUCCGGCAGCUGUCGUCGCGCUCGUCGCUGAAUGCGACAAGGCAUUCCGCUAAAAUAUGCGAAUGCAUAAUUGAAAAACGGCGCGGAGCGCCGAGAAACCACGGCUUUUUCACCGUUUCUCGAACUGCACUCGUAAGAUGGGAUUAAACUACGCCCGUCAGGGGUAACUUAGCGCCACACUGAAUAAAGAUCGUAUCAUCGGUACUUUCUUUCUCAGGAGAGUAAUUCGUCAGCUCCAUUUACGAUAUAUACACGAGAUUCCGAGAUCUGUCUUCACUCCGGCACUCCCAAAGUCACCUCUGCCGGUGCAGUUUAAUUCUGUUUUGCGAUACCUGAGUUUCCCAUUUCCAUAUAAAAGCGAUAUAAAAUAAUUAAGCGAUAUUUUAUAUGUAAACUAAUUAUUUUAUCUUAAUAAAAAAGAUAAGUUAUUCAAA